GACGAACGCUGGCGGCGUGCUUAACACAUGCAAGUCGAACGGAAUGGCCCUGCUUUUGUGGGGUGCUCGAGUGGCGAACGGGUGAGUAACCCGUGAGUAACCUGCCCUUGACUUUGGGAUAACCUCAGGAAACUGGGGCUAAUACCGGAUAGGAGCUCCUGCUGCAUGGUGGGGGUUGGAAAGUUUCGGCGGUUGGGGAUGGACUGGCGGCUUAUCAGCUUGUUGGUGGGGUAGUGGCUUACCAAGGCUUUGACGGGUAGCCGGCCUGGGAGGGGGACCGGCGACAUUAGGACUGAGAUACGGCGCAGACUCCUACGGGAGGCAGCAGUGGGGAGUAUUGCACAAUGGGCGGAAGCCUGAUGCAGCAACGCCGCGUGCGGGAUGACGGCCUUCGGGUUGUAAACCGCUUUCGCCUGUGACGAAGCGUGAGUGGCGGUAAUGGGUGAAGAAGCACCGGCUAACUACGUG
rnacentral:rRNA from 1 species